ensembl:lncRNA
CCACCAAAAAUAAUGUAUACAUACUUCAGAAAAAAACAUAUAAAUAUUUUAAUACUCAAUUUAUUGAGACAUCAUGAGAUUAAUGUAAGUUACCUUUGGCCUCUACCAUUACAAGAGGUGCUCAAAGUGGUGUCUGUGCACUUCCAGACAUUUAUUAGUAUGGCAAACUGCUGGGUUUUUAAUGUUUGUAGUGCUUUUAAAACAUUUAAAAUAGUCGUUUUGGACUUACAUCCUAAUUUCAAUGUUAUCCUCACCAUCAGGACUUCUACCAUGCACCGCUACUUCAAAAAUUUUUAUUAAUCUUUCAGAUAUUUGUAGUGCAUCUAUGAGUUAAUUUUAUCAGAGGGAGGGAGUUUCUUAUCUCUUGUAUAAUUAAUUGAGGCUUUCAUACAUGACUUGAUAAUUAUUGGUUUCCCCUUAAAAAUAUUACACACUAUUACACACACAUGCACAGUGAGAGUCUUGUGAGUUCUCUACCCUGUGACACUCAACCAAAGCCUUAUAUAAUUUUUCCUUUUUAAUUUUUUUAUUCUUUCCGAGAACCUUUGACAUUUUUUACCAUUGAUUUUUUUUUUUUUUUUUUUUUUUGGUACCAAGAAUUGAACUCAGGACCUUGCGCUUGCCAGGCAGGUGCGGCACUGUUGCGCUAACCCCUGGCCCCUACCUUCGAAAUUUAAAACAUUGGUUGCUUAUACCCUGGUCCUGGAUAGAUUUGUCAGUUUUACUUUGGCUAGGGCUAGGUGUUUUCAAACCGACCAUUGAAUGUUUUCCCUCAACUUUAAAAAAACUUCCGUUUGUUCUGGAAUCUUUUAAACAUGCCAAUAACCCAUACACUGGAUGUCUACUCUGUGGCUCUACCUGCUUUUUCUAAGCCUGCUAGGACAUAGUCUUGGGGAAAACCUCCCCGCUCUGAGUCUGAACCAUCCCAGUACAGCUAGCCCCUCAUGUCUGCGGAAAGCUGCCCCACCUGGAGAGCGGUUCGCCAUGGCAGCCAGGCCACUUCCCUCCCUUCCAACCUACAGCCAAACCAAAGGAACGAACAGAAACGUGAGGAGGCAAAGCCCGCAAAGCUUGUUCAGUACAGAGGGGUCUGGAGGACUGGGCCUCAAUCACAUUUUUUACAUACGUCAGUUUUAGAAACCUCUCCCAGGACUGAGACUCCACCGCCGCAGUCAGGCACCGCAGCCGCUCGGGAAGGUACUGCUAACGGUCGCCAAGUGCGCGCCAGUUGGGAAGUUGCCCGGAUGUUCUUACGACACCUGUGAUGCCCGGAUGUUCUUACGACGCACGCCCAUUGUUGCGCAGGUACCUAAGAGUGCGCAUGUGCAGGAAGUAGUACUGAAGGAGGCGCAAAAAAAUGCCUUGACAUCAACGCCUAGAGUCCUACAAGUUCAACUAGGCUGAGUGGAUUUUUUCGGAUUUAACCAAAUAAGAACAGUCAUUUCCAUGGUUAUACAGGUUGGUUAUGAAUAAAUCAUUUACAAAAGGCCAAUCAGAACAAAUGUGAAGAAUGUUAUUUGAAAUGAUGGAAAUGCAUAUCUUCUCAUCUUGGGAAAUCAUCUGAGAGCUGCUAUGGCCCAAGGGAAGCCUGGAAUAGAUAAGAGAAGGUAUGCCUAAGAACCCAGAAGUGGAGCCAGGUCUGAGGAAGGAGAACAA